GACGAACGCUGGCGGCGUGCUUAACACAUGCAAGUCGAACGGAAAGGCCCUGCUUUUGUGGGGUGCUCGAGUGGCGAACGGGUGAGUAACACGUGAGUAACCUGCCCUUGACUUUGGGAUAACUUCAGGAAACUGGGGCUAAUACCGGAUAGGAGCUCCUGCUGCAUGGUGGGGGUUGGAAAGUUUCGGCGGUUGGGGAUGGACUCGGGGCUUAUCAGCUUGUUGGUGGGGUAGUGGCUUACCAAGGCUUUGACGGGUAGCCGGCCUGAGAGGGUGACCGGCCACAUGGGGACUGAGAUACGGACCAGACGCCAACGGGAGGCAGCAGUGGGGAAUAUUGCACAACGGGCGGAAGCCUGAUGAAGAGACGCCGCGUGCGGGAUGACGGCCUUGGGGUUGUAAACCGCUUUAGCCUGUGACGAAGCGGGAGUGACGGUAAUGGGUAAAGAAGCACCGGCUAACUACGUG
rnacentral:rRNA from 1 species